rnacentral:rRNA from 1 species
CUUAAAUUGAAGAGUUUGAUCAUGGCUCAGAUUGAACGCUGGCGGCAGGCCUAACACAUGCAAGUCGAGCGGAAACGAGUUAUCAGAACCUUCGGGGAACGAUAA